rnacentral:rRNA from 1 species
AGUGAACGCUGGCGGUAGGCCUAACACAUGCGAGUCGAACGGCAGCACGGUAAGAGCUUGCUCUUACGGGUGGCGAGUGGCGGACGGGUGAGGAAUACAUCGGAAUCUACUUUUUCGUGGGGGAUAACGUAGGGAAACUUACGCUAAUACCGCAUACGACCUACGGGUGAAAGCAGGGGAUCUUCGGACCUUGCGCGAUUGAAUGAGCCGAUGUCGGAUUAGCUAGUUGGCGGGGUAAAGGCCCACCAAGGCGACGAUCCGUAGCUGGUCUGAGAGGAUGAUCAGCCACACUGGAACUGGGACACGGUCCAGACUCCUACGGGAGGCAGCAGUGGGGAAUAUUGGACAAUGGGCGCAAGCCUGAUCCAGCCAUACCGCGUGGGUGAAGAAGGCCUUCGGGUUGUAAAGCCCUUUUGUUGGGAAAGAAAAGCAGCAGGUUAAUACCCCGCUGUUCUGACGGUACCCAAAGAAUAAGCACCGGCUAACUUCGUG